rnacentral:tRNA from 1 species
GGUAGGUGGCUUAGUGGUAGAGUGCUUGCUUUGCAUGCAUGAAGGCCUGGGUUUGAUUCCUCAGUACCA